GGGGUCGGCAACCCGGGCGUGGCUGGCGGAGACCCAGGAGCCCGGGUUCCCGGACGCGCGGCGCCGGAGGGCGCAGCGCGGCCCGCGGCUGCAUCCCGGCACCCGAGUCUGCGGACCUAGCCCAUCCCGGGCGGGCGAGGCCACCCACUCCUGCGCGGUACCAACUCUGCGAGCCGCUUCCGAGCGCUGGGCGGAGGGGGCGCUCGGGCUGGGCAAGAAGUUCGCAGAAGCUGGCGGGUCCGUAGGUGCUCUCCUCACCUCUCUUACCAGGCGAUCCACGGCCCGGCCCGGCCCGGGCUCCCACGAUGGAUCCAGACUCGGGCUCCCCUGAGACAAGUCUGCCCCUAGACCCGGGCUGAGGGCAUUGGGCACGGAUUAAAGUUCCGGGAACUUGGCAGUUGGCAGCUUCCACAGCGGUAGGAGAACUGGUCAAACAAACCAGAACUCUGACAGAAGAUACUUUUAUGGCUGAGACCGGCUCUCAAGUUAGAAACAGAAAAGCUAACUGGAAAGGUCAGCAAGACCAUAUAACCUGUGGCCGUUGACACUCAAGACUUCGAGUCUAAUUCAGUGUCCCCAAAUCAAAAUUACCCACGACGUUCAGAG